rnacentral:rRNA from 1 species
GUGUGGUUCAUGACUGGGGUGAAGUCGUAACAAGGUAGCCGUAGGGGAACCUGCGGCUGGAUCACCUCCUUA